UACAGAGGGGCAAGCGUUAUUCGGAAUUAUUGGGCGUAAAGGGCGCGUAGGCGGCCUGGCAAGUGACGGGUGAAAGCCCUCGGCUCAACCGAGGAACUGCCUGUCAUACUGCCGGGCUUGAGUCCGGGAGAGGUCGAGUGGAAAUUCCCCAGUGUACGCGGUGAAAAUGCGCAGAUAGUCAGGAGGAACACCAAUGGCCGAAGGCAGCACUCUGGGACGGUACUGACGCUGAGACGCCGAAA
rnacentral:rRNA from 1 species